rnacentral:rRNA from 1 species
AACGAACGCUGGCGGCAUGCCUAACACAUGCAAGUCGAACGAGACCUUCGGGUCUAGUGGCGCACGGGUGCGUAACGCGUGGGAACCUGCCCUUAGGUUCGGAAUAACUCCCCGAAAGGGGUGCUAAUACCGGAUAAUGUCUUCGGACCAAAGAUUUAUCGCCUUUGGAUGGGCCCGCGUUGGAUUAGCUAGUUGGUAGGGUAAAAGCCUACCAAGGCGACGAUCCAUAGCUGGUCUGAGAGGAUGAUCAGCCACACUGGGACUGAGACACGGCCCAGACUCCCUCCGGAGGCCGGAAGGGGGAAUAAUUGGAAAUGGGCGGAAGGCUGAACCAACCAAUGCGCGUUGGGGAAGAAGGGCUUAAGGUUGGAAAGCCCUUUUUACCCGGAAGGUAAAGGCAGUUCCCGGGGGAUAAGCCCCGGCUAACUCCGUG